rnacentral:rRNA from 1 species
UACGGAGGGUGCAAGCGUUAUCCGGAUUCACUGGGUUUAAAGGGUGCGUAGGCGGGUAAGUAAGUCCGUGGUGAAAUCUCUGAGCUUAACUCAGAAACUGCCGUGGAUACUAUUUGCCUUGAAUAUUGUGGAGGUGAGCGGAAUAUGUCAUGUAGCGGUGAAAUGCCUAGAUAUGACAUAGAACACCAAUUGCGAAGGCAGCUCACUACACAAUCAUUGACGCUGAGGCACGAAAGCGUGGGGAUCAAACAGG